rnacentral:rRNA from 1 species
UACGUAGGGGGCAAGCGUUGUCCGGAAUUAUUGGGCGUAAAGAGCGCGUAGGCGGUCCGAUAAGUCGGCUGUGAAAGUCAGGGGCUCAACCCUUGAAAGCCGGCCGAUACUGUCGGACUAGAGUCCGGAAGAGGCGAGUGGAAUUCCCGGUGUAGCGGUGAAAUGCGCAGAUAUCGGGAGGAACACCAAUGGCGAAGGCAGCCCCCUGGGUCAAGAUUGACGCUCAUGCACGAAAGCGUGGGGAGCAAACAGG